CUAUUUGAGGAAGCUGACCUCUACAAUUUACAAGAGACUCUCCAGAGGAGGUUGCCAAGCCCCGGCUCUUUUCUCUUCAGCGCGAGGACAUGGGGGAAAGGAGACAUUUAUGAAUCUCUUUGAGUCUCAGUCUUUUCAUUUCUAAAAUUGCGUUAAUGAAAGCCUUUCUGAAAAUGGUGUUGUGAGGAAGGACAUGGAGUUUGGCACUCAGGAGGCGUUCAGUAAACGGUGGUUAUACUGUUGUUAGAAUGAGAGAAAGCAAAAGGCAGCCUCAUGCAAAACAGUAAAGAAGAGAGAAAAGAAACAGGAAAGAAAACAGCAUCUGUGGACUCCAGAAGCGCCCAGAGCCCGCACUCUCCCUCGCCCACCUGAGCACUCACCCUUGAUGACCUGGGUUCCGGGAGCCUCAGCAGGGCAGCCAGGGCCGUGGCUCGCAGGAUCCUGGCUCUGCCCUGGCUCCUUCAGUCUUCAGGGUGCAUCGGCAAUGGCCACUGUGCGCCAGACCCGGAGGAGAAAAUGAGGCGGUGCAGGGAGGGAGGAGCUCCGAAUCCAGCACUCCUUACCCCACCCCUGUCCAGGGAGAAAGGCUGGAGAUGAAACAGGCUGUGGCUGGGGAAGUAAGAUGCUAGAGCUGCCGGGAAGAAGUGGGAGAAUUAUCAGGCACCAGCAGGACCCAGAAAGCCCCUGCCUACUGCAGAGUGUGGGGCAAGGAGGGGGACCAUUACUCCUGGCAUUCCCAGAUGGAACAGACACCAAGCCUGGCUUUGCCACUGAACACAAUACAGGACUGAUAAUGCAGCCAGGCCUUCAGCCGAUUGAAUGGUGCAGUGAGCCGAAAUCACGCCACUGCACUCCAGUCUGGGCAACAGAGCGAGACUCUGUCUCGAAAAAAAAAGAAAAGACAAAGAAAGGCAUAUAUUGCUACAGAAGAUACUCUUAAAUCCUACUUUUCUGGAAAUAUUGGUUAUUAUAGAAAAUAUAGGACUAAAUCAUUUUAAAAUUCUCAUUCUGAAAUUAUUACAAAUGUUUUAUGAAUCAUAUUAGCAUAUAGGCAAGUUUUGGAAAGCUAAAAUUGCAAACCAGGGAUGCAGAUGAGUGUUCUGUGAAAUUUUUAAUUUUUGCAGAACACCAUGAGAAAUUACACAUUUUCUAUUCUAUAUUUCUUGUAGGAAAUAGAGGCUGUCCCUCUCUCAGUGCCCCACAUGAGAAAGGGAAGUUGUCCUUUUACAUAUCCACUGUCAAACAUCUUGGUAAACAGAGGAAAGCAGGCUGGGCCUGGUGGCUCAUGCCUAUAACCCCAGCACUUUGGGAGGCCAAGGAGGGCAGA